UUGUCCUCAGUUGCUCGCGUCCACUGUGUUGGUUCUGAAAUAACGAACUGCCGUGUUUUCUCCGGUGUUGGUUAAUUUCAUAGUGUUUCGGUGGUCAUUGCGUUAGGGAAACGCCCGGUUACAUUCCGAACCCGGAAGCUAAGCCUUUCAGCGCCGAUGGUACUGCAGGGGGGACCCUGUGGGAGAGUAGGACGCCGCCGAAC
rnacentral:rRNA from 1 species